GGAAAGGUGAAAAGCACCCCGACAAGGGGAGUGAAAUAGAACCUGAAACUGGAUGCCUACAAACAGUCGGAGCCCGCAAGGGUGACGGCGUACCUUUUGUAUAAUGGGUCAACGACUUAGUGUAACAAGCAAGCUUAAGCCGGUAGGUGUAGGCGAAGCGAAAGCGAGUCUGAAUAGGGCGAUAUAGUUUGUUGCAUUAGACCCGAAACCGAGUGAUCUAGCCAUGAGCAGGUUGAAGGUUGGGUAACACCAACUGGAGGACCGAACCCGCAUCUGUUGCAAUAGAUUGGGAUGACUUGUGGCUAGGGGUGAAAGGCCAAUCAAACUCGGAAAUAGCUGGUUCUCCGCGAAAUCUAUUUAGGUAGAGCGUCGACCGAAUACCCCAGGGGGUAGAGCACUGGAUGGGCUAGGGGUCCUCACCGGAUUACCAAACCUAACCAAACUCCGAAUACCUGGGAGUACUAGUCGGCAGACACACGGCGGGUGCUAACGUCCGUCGUGAAAAGGGAAACAACCCUGACCUACAGCUAAGGUCCCCAAGUUAUGGCUAAGUGGGAAAGGAUGUGAGGAUCCCAAAACAACCAGGAUGUUGGCUUAGAAGCAGCCAUCAUUUAAAGAAAGCGUAACAGCUCACUGGUCUAAAUAAGGGUCUUUGCGCCGAAAAUGUAACGGGGCUAAAGCCAUACACCGAAGCUUAGGGUUCGUGAGCAAUCACGAGCGGUAGCGGAGCGUUCUGUAAGCUGAUGAAGCCGUACCCGUGAGGGGCGGUGGAGGUAUCAGAAGUGCGAAUGCUGACAUGAGUAACGUAAGGGGAGUGAGAGACUCCCCCGCCGAAAGACCAAGGGUUCCUGCUUAAAGUUAAUCUGAGCAGGGUUAGCCGGCCCCUAAGACGAGGCGGAAACGCGUAGUCGAUGGGAACCACGUUAAUAUUCGUGGGCCUGGAGGUAGUGACGGAUCACACAAGUUGUCCAAUCUUAUCGGAUUGAAAGGGCAGCGGAGUGGUUCCAGGAAAUAGCUCCUCCUUAUAGACCGUACCCGAAACCGACACUGGUGGUCAGGUAGAGUAUACCAAGGCGCUUGAGAGAACUAUGCUGAAGGAACUCGGCAAAUUGCACGCGUAACUUCGGAAGAAGCGUGACCCUUUUCUGCGCAAGCAGGGGAGGGUGGCACAGACCAGGGGGUAGCGACUGUUUAUCAAAAACACAGGGCUCUGCGAAGCCGCAAGGCGACGUAUAGGGUCUGACGCCUGCCCGGUGCUGGAAGGUUAAGAGGAGAGGUGCAAGCUUUGAAUCGAAGCCCCAGUAAACGGCGGCCGUAACAAUAACGGUCCUAAGGUAGCGAAAUUCCUUGUCGGGUAAGUUCCGACCUGCACGAAUGGCGUAACG
rnacentral:rRNA from 1 species